UACGUAGGGCGCGAGCGUUGUCCGGAAUUAUUGGGCGUAAAGAGCUCGUAGGCGGCUUGUUGCGUCUGCUGUGAAAUCCCGGGGCUUAACCCCGGGCGUGCAGUGGAUACGGGCAGGCUGGAGGCAGGCAGGGAGAAUGGAAUUCCCGGUGUAGCGGUGAAAUGCGCAGAUAUCGGGAGGAACACCGGUGGCGAAGGCGGUUCUCUGGGCCUGUUCUGACGCUGAGGAGCGAAAGCGUGGGGAGCGAACGG
rnacentral:rRNA from 1 species